rnacentral:rRNA from 1 species
GAUGAACGCUGGCGGCGUGCUUAACACAUGCAAGUCGAACGGAAAGGCUAGUGCUUGCACUGGUACUCGAGUGGCGAACGGGUGAGUAACACGUGGGUGAUCUGCCCUGCACUUCGGGAUAAGCCUGGGAAACUGGGUCUAAUACCGGAUAGGACCAUCGUUUAGUGUCGGUGGUGGAAAGUUUUUCGGUGUGGGAUGAGCUCGCGGCCUAUCAGCUUGUUGGUGGGGUAAUGGCCUACCAAGGCGUCGACGGGUAGCCGGCCUGAGAGGGUGUACGGCCACAUUGGGACUGAGAUACGGCACAGACUCCUACGGGAGGCAGCAGUGGAGAAUAUUGCACAAUGGGCGGAAGCCUGAUGCAGCGACGCCGCGUGGGGGAUGACGGCAUUCGGGUUGUAAACUCCUUUCGUCAGGGACGAAGCGAAAGUGACGGUACCUGGAGAAGAAGCACCGGCUAACUACGUG